rnacentral:misc_RNA from 1 species
GAUGAAGAACGCAGCGAAAUGCGAUACUUGGUGUGAAUUGCAGAAUCCCGUGAACCAUCGAGUCUUUGAACGCAAGUUGCGCCUCAAGCCAUUAGGUUGAGGGCACGUCUGCCUGGGCGUCACAUAUCGUUGCCUGAUGCCAGUUUCCUCGUGAUGGGUGACUGUGCAGGGCGAAUGAUGGCUUCCCGUGAGCAUUGUUGCCUCAUGGUUGGUUGAAAAUUGAGUCCUUGGUAGGGAGCGCCGUGAUAGAUGGUGGUUGAGUGACGAACGAGACCCAAUCAUGUGAGACCCCUACCGAAUUUGGCCUUCAUGACCCACAUGCGUCUUUGGAACGCUCAUGACGAGGCCUCAGGUCAGGCGGGGCUACCCGCUGAGUUUAAGCAUAUCGAUAAGCGGAGGA